UGUUAUGGCGGCUGUGCGUGGGACGCCUUCGGGCGUGCCGGUUCCUAGGUUCCCGGUUUUCCAACCUGCGUACAGCCGUCACCCAU
rfam:Pseudomonas fluorescens HK44 Contig9, whole genome shotgun sequence.